AGCUUGCUCUUAAAAAAGGAAAAAAUUCCGAAGUGGUAAAUUAUGAUACAAAUACAAGCUUCGUACGACUAAAAAGGCUAAGAAAGCAUAUUCCUUUUCUUGACCACCCACGCAAACCUGAACUUCCACCUUCGGUGAGAAAUUUGGAGCCAUGAAUUGCCAGAAAGUUUUACAAUUCAAAAUUCUACACAUUAAUGAAGAUUGAAACAUCACAGCAACGGCGAUGGCUAUGAAGCUCAAGGGAUUUCUUUUAAUUUUAGCAGCAUUUAAUUUAUACAUACUCUGCUACUAUUUUGUUCACUUUCCUACUUCAAAUGAGAAAUUUCUUCACAAGGCUUCAAUGGGUUGGAUCCAAGAGCUUCCCAGAGCAGAACAUGAUGGACACAAAAGCUCGUCAUUCGAUGGGAAGCCAUGGCCAGAACUUCCGUCAUAUAUGCCUUGGCACAAUCCCGUCAAAGCUAAAGCAGGGUCUUGCGAGGCCUAUUUUGGAAAUGGCUUCAAUCGUAUUUAUCGUCUGCUAGAUAAUAACCCCUACAAAGGCAGAAAUCUGUCUGGCGGGGGUUCAUUUAACUGUUUCUACAGCGAAACCCUAGACACAUCGAUAUGUGAAGGAAAAAGAAUGGCUAUGUUUCCUGAGAGAAUUGGGAUGUCGAGGGGAGGGGAGGAUGUGGAGGCUGUGUUGGGGAGAGAGGAGGAGGCCGAGCUACCCAAGUAUUCGGAGGGGGCCUUUCGAAUUGAGGCGCCUUUUGAUCAUGUAACUGGAGAUGGGAGGGUCGUAAGUGACGAGUUAUUAAAUCAGAUAAUGCCUCAGGGAGCUGUUCAUACGCAUACUAUGAGAUCUCUACUGCAGGCGCUGCAUCUCGUCCCCUCUGCCGACUUUGUCUGUGAUCAGUGGAUUGAGGAGCCAACACUUCUGAUAACACGUUUUGAGUAUGCCAAUAUAUUUCACACUUAUACAGACUGGUACAAUUCAUACGUCACUUCACGAGUUGCUGCUUUACCCAAACGACCUCGUGUUGUUUUUGUGGAUGGUCAUUGCAAGUCCCCUAUGGAUGAUGCUUGGGAGGCCUUAUUUACAAGUGUCGCAUAUGCUAAACACUUUUCUGGGCCUGUAUGUUUUCGCCAUGUGCUUCUUACACCAUUGGGCUAUGAAACUGCUUUGUUCAAGGGACUUACUGAAAGCAUACCGUGCUAUGGUUGCUCUGUAAGUGAACUGAAACAGAAACCUGAGGACAGGAAAACUGCAAGGCUGGUUGAAUAUGGAGAGAUGUUCAGGGCAGCCUUUGGGCUUUUAUCUGGUGAAAACAAAAAUUUCAGGUCAACUUCAGUUCACAAUGUCCUUUUCAUGCGGCGCGAACAUUAUUUAGCUCAUCCUCGUCAUGGAGGCAAGGUGGAAUCGAGACUGAGAAAUGAAGAGGAAGUUCUGGAUGCAUUACAAAAAUGGGCUAGUAGCUAUUCAAAAUGUAAGGUGAAGAUUGUCAAUGGGCUCUUUGCUCAUAUGGCUAUGAUAGAUCAAGUGCGGGCUGUGCAAGCGGCUUCAGUUAUUGUGGGGGCACAUGGGGCUGCUCUCACUCACAUUAUUUCUGCAAGGCCUGGCACAGUGGUGCUGGAGAUAAUAAGUAGCUUUUACAGGCGUCCUCAUUUUGCAUUAAUCUCUCAGUGGACUGGGUUGGAGUACCAUGCUAUUAAUCUGGAAGGAUCGGUUGCUAAAAUCCCUGAAGUUGUAGAAGCCCUUAGUGGGAUCAUGAAGAGUCUUCUAUGCUAGGUCCUUUGAAUAAGAGCUGUUUGUCUCAUCCAGCAACUAUCUUCAGAGCCUCAGCCAGUGGAAGUUUAUACUUCCAUUCCUCUGCAGUGUUUAUGGAACGGCCAUCCAUGGGACCUAUCACUUCAAUUGGGAAGCCUAUUGUUGAAUUGGUCUCUGAAUCAUCCCAAUCUGGUUCUGUGUCAACUAUUAGAUUUCAUUGAGGUCGUCUGUGGUAGCCUUGUAUGGCCAUUUAGUAUUAUAUGUUCCCUCAAAGCAUUGUGAGCAUUGUAUAACCUUUGAAAAUAUGUCCAGUUCCACUUGGAAUGAUUAAAACAGAAGAUGGGAGUUGCAUAUUUGUGGAAGCUGGAAUAAGCUGAAGCCGAAGAUUGUUGGAGAUAAUCUUCCUCAGCAAGCAUAUAAAAUGAAUUUUCGUUACAAUUUCUUUGCAGUUUUAAAUAAUAGAGAAAAUCAGCCUGAAUCUAACAAGGGUUCUGGAUAUCAAGUGGCAGAAGUAUAGUAUGUUGUAAACUAUGCCCCACUAUUUAACAGAUGAAACUGAGUGUACAAUCACUAAUUCUUAUGCUUCGUUUCUUUUACUUGCAAUAUACGUAGUUGUACACUGGUUCCCCUGACAGUUUUCUUCACAGAAAAUGAUGUCUCUGAUUCCUUCUCUUUUCUAGCCUUCUAAAUGGUCGCUUUACAUGGUCACUUUACAUUAUAAAUGACUGUUUGAAGAUAUAUUUAUCCAAAAGAUGUUACUAAAUUAUGUAUCUCCCUUCAAUAAGAGAAGCGAUGUUUUGUC